rfam:Citrus sinensis cultivar Ridge Pineapple sweet orange scaffold01428_contig_3, whole genome shotgun sequence.
AUACCUUUCUCGGCCUUUUGGCUAAGAUCAAGUUUAGUAUCUGUUCUUAUCAGUUUAAUAUCUGGCUCACACGAUAUUAGAUUAAUUUUUUAAGGCGGAGAGCUCGCUACGGGAGCUUGCGACCGGGGCUCUCGAGCGGCGCCCUUGCGUUGCACUACUGCAAGGUCGUCGCACACCCA